rnacentral:rRNA from 1 species
GAUGAACGCUGGCGGCGUGCCUAAUACAUGCAAGUCGAGCGAACGGACGAGGAGCUUGCUUCUCUGAUGUUAGCGGCGGACGGGUGAGUAACACGUGGAUAACCUACCUAUAAGACUGGGAUAACUUCGGGAAACCGGAGCUAAUACCGGAUAAUAUUUUGAACCGCAUGGUUCAAUAGUGAAAGACGGUCUUGCUGUCACUUAUAGAUGGAUCCGCGCUGCAUUAGCUAGUUGGUAAGGUAACGGCUUACCAAGGCAACGAUGCGUAGCCGACCUGAGAGGGUGAUCGGCCACACUGGAACUGAGACACGGUCCAGACUCCUACGGGAGGCAGCAGUAGGGAAUCUUCCGCAAUGGGCGAAAGCCUGACGGAGCAACGCCGCGUGAGUGAUGAAGGUCUUCGGAUCGUAAAACUCUGUUAUUAGGGAAGAACAUAUGUGUAAGUAACUAUGCACGUCUUGACGGUACCUAAUCAGAAAGCCACGGCUAACUACGUG